rnacentral:tRNA from 1 species
AGUGAACUGUGGCGCAAACUCGCUAUAAAGUUCGUAAUGAUGGGGUCGCGUGUUCGAGUCACGCAAGCGGCACCA